UUAAAGGAAUUGACGGAAGGGCACCACAAGGAGUGGAGCCUGCGGUUCAAUUUGACUCAACACGGGAAAACUUACCAGGCCCAGACACUGGAAGGAUUGACAGAUUGAGAGCUCUUUCUUGAUUCGGUGGGUUGUGGUGCAUGGCCGUUCUUAGUUGGUGGUGUGAAUUGUCUGGUUAAUUCCGGUAACGAACGAGACUCUGGCCUGCUAAAUAGACGUCCGAAAUCCGUGUGCAAUCGGCGGAUGUAAAUCUUCUUAGAGGGACAAAUAGCUUCUAGCUAUGCGAGAAUGAGCAAUAAUAGGUCUGUGAUGCCCUUAGAUGUUCUGGGCCGCACGCGCGCUACACUGAAGGCAGCAGAGUGUGGUCUCCUAGUCCGAGAGGACUGGGUAACCCGUGCAAAUUUUUUCGUGCUAGGGAUUGGGGCUUGCAAUUAUUCCCCACGAACGAGGAAUUCCUAGUAAACGUGAGUCAUAAGCUCACAUUGAUUAUGUCCCUGCCCUUUGUCCACACCGCCCGUCGCUACUACCGAUUGAAUGAUUUAGUAAGGUCUUCGGACUUGCGCACGAUCUCAAAGCUGGUUCCCCCAGCGAGAUCGGUGUCGCGGGGAAUUUGACCGAACUUGAUCAUUUAGAGGAAGUAAAAGUCGUAACAAGGUUUCC
rnacentral:rRNA from 1 species